rnacentral:lncRNA from 1 species
AUACAAUGAAAUGUGUGCAGGUACCUGUAAUUAAUUGUAUCAGUUGCAGAGGGCAUACUGUAUAGGUUUUCACAUGUUUCAUUUAUCAAAUGAGUAAAGUAAGUACCAUAUGUGAAGGAUUAAGUACACUAAAAUAUAUCACCUCGCUGAUGAAGAGCCAUGACCUUUUCCAGGCAAGAUGUGUCAGGGCUCCUCAAAGAAAAACAGCUUUACCAUCCUUCCUAAAUCUCAAAAAAAUUUAAAAGUUCCUCAAUAAAGCAGAUUCACAUAAUCAUAUUAAUUGAUACAUGUUUCUAAAAGCAGUGCUUAAGACAAAAAUUGCAUAUAGUCAAAAUUAUGCUUGAACAAGUUUGGAGAUGUACUGAUUUUUAUUUGGUUUGUACACACACACACACAUAAGAAUGGUAUAAUUUUCUUGAUUUGACUAUUUGAAUUACACCUUCUAAAUUCUUUUUUUCAAAUAACAGUGAAAAUAAGUGAAUUUACUUUAAUAUUGCAUAACUAUACUACAAAAGACUAUCUUAAAUAUUUUCUGAUUCUGAAUUUGCUAAUGUCAAUAAUAUUCCAAAAAUCUUUGGGCUAUUGGAAACAUGCAUCAACAUGUUCUAGGAAUAAAUGCUUUAUAUAAAUUUAAACAAUAUAAAGUUUAGAGCUGUGCUUUAAUCUCAAAUUUACAUUUUCCACCUUUAUGCUGAAAGGAAACAUUCAGGUUUUUAGUAUUAAAUGGUUUGGAUAUGGAAAACAUUUACGCAAAUACAUAUUGCCAUAUUUUAAACUCAGAAAACUGUUAGGGGGAAAAAAGUGUCCUAAAAAGCGUAGUUCUUGUUCUAGCUCUGCCACUGCCUACAGCAAGUUAUCUAUACCCUCUAGGUUUUCAUUUCUUCAUUUGUAAAAGAAGUGGUUUGGACUAGACAAUUAGUCUUCAAAUUGUGCUUCUGAAAUAUUACUAAAGGUCUUAGGGUGACAAAGUCCCUAUUCUAUUUUCCAAUGCCAUCCACCCACAAAACUACCUGAAUCAUAAACCCAAAUAUUUCCAAAGCUAUACUAGAAUAAUUAUUAAUACAAUUUAUUUCCUAACAUGUAAAUCAUUUUUUACUCAGCACAUUUGGUGAUUUUUUUUCUAGUUGUAUUCUGGUUUCUAAAUAUAAUAAGGCACAAAUAAAAAUCUUGGUUGGAAUUCAAUACUUCCUGCUGUUCAUUCUCCCACUGAAGUCUCAGUCCUGUUUACAUCAUAAUUGGUUUCUGUGGCAAUGAUUAUGUCAUCAUAAACAAAAUACCUACAUUCUGCUUUGAUGCAAAUAUUGUUUUAAUGGGAAAAGAAACAAAAAGCAGUAUAAUAUACCGAAAAUAUUUAGUUAUUACUGCCUGUGAUAUCAGAGGUGGGAAAAUAAAAAGAUAGUUUGGAAAACUCCUUCAGAUCUUUAAGGCAGAUCAAAAUUUAAGCAGUAUGGACAGAUAACCAUCAAGCAAACUGAAACUUUGGAUGAAUUCUUAUUCUUGUCUCAGAGAUGGAAAAGUUUGCAGCCUCUGGAACUAUAAAGCAGAAACAUUCUGGAAUGCUUUUGCAGAGCAACAUAUGGUUACAGAGUUGCUUAGGAAUACUAGUAGUUUCUUUGGCAGUAUAGUAACUCAAAAACUUGGUACAGAUUCAUUUCUCAAUAUAGUUAAAAGUUGCUCAAAUUAUUUAAUUGGAUGAUAUUUAACACCGGGUAUUUUGGACUAUUUGGAAAAUCAUGUUACAAAUUCGAAGGAUAUUCAUUUUGCUAAAAUGAAGGCCAAUUAAUCAUUUGAUCAAUCUUGUUCAAAUUGAGAUCUGUGCUAUAGAAAGAGAAAAAAAAGGCUCUUCUGAUCAUUGCUGUCAUUCAUUCAUUAAAUCAUUAAUCAAUCUCCAUUAAAUCAAAUUUAUAUAUUAAUGUUAAUCCCAACUUGUGCUGAGUGCUUGGACUACAGAAAUAAACAUGAUGGAAUCUCUAUGCUCAGGAAAUUACCCUAUACUGCAAAGAGACAUACAGAUAAAAUAAUAAUAUAGGCAAGGUAAGAUGCUAUUAGAGGUACCUACAAAUAACUUCUAAAACACUUCAAAUCAAAUAGCAUUUCUCUGGAAAUGCUAUAGGGGCGUCAAGACUAAUUCACAGAAUACUCAGCCGAAGUGGCAACGUGAACCAGGAGUGAGGGAUGAAUAGGUGUUUACCAGCAAGACAAGUGGCAGAAUAAAUUGCAUAUACAGGGACCUUAAAAUAUAAAAACAAGCAUGGGUUGUUUAGAAUGACAGUGUGACUGGAACACCAAGAGAGAAAAUGGAAGGGAUGCUUUCACUAAGAUUGAAAGUAGCUUUUCUUGGAGAAUUGAGUGUAAAAAUUAUCCAAUAUGGAGUUGAAUGUGAAUCAAUACUCCUAAAAUCUUGGAUAGUGUGUCAAAAAUGUUAAUAAAGUCAGUUAUGUAAAGUUUUUUUUUUCCCCCCAACCUUUGAUCGCUCUGUUGACACAUGUAAUUCCACCUGGUAUCUCAUUGUGUCCCUGUACCUGCUUUAGAUGCCGAAAAAGCUAUAGUGGAAACAACGAACUCCUGACUGCCCCCAAGAUCCAAAAUCCAGCCAAUGGUGGACUUCACUCUUAACACCAUUCCAGGUUUUCUUAAAAGAGAAAAUCCUCGUGGUGAACAAAGAGAAAGUAGCCAGGACCAACUUUGAAUGGUAGCUCUAUAGCGCUCUAGAGAUUAUACAGAGUUCAUCAGUUAAUAAGCACUUUACUGAACAUGAAGGAAAACCUAAAUCAAAUUGGUAUAAAGUAAAAGGGAGAUACAAUAGCUCACACAUGAAGGAGAUCACACUUGGACAGAGUUCAGAGCUGACUGAUAUUUGAAUCUCUCUCCACCCUUCUUCAUGGUGAUGUUCAUAAAAUGAGUCUUACUCUGGGCUGAAUUAGGUCCCUCAGAAUUCAUACAAUGGGAGUUCCCGUCGUGGCGCAGUGGUUAUCGAAUCCGACUAGGAACCAUGAGGUUGCGGGUUCGGUCCCUGCCCUUGCUCAGUGGGUUGACGAUCCGGCGUUGCCGUGAGCUGUGGUGUAGGUUGCAGACGCGGCUCGGAUCCCGUGUUGCUGUGGCUCUGGCGUAGGCUGGUGGCUACAGCUCUGAUUAGACCCCUAGCCUGGGAACCUCCAUAUGCCGCAGGAGCGGCCCAAGAAAUAGCAACAACAACAACAACAAAAAAAGACAAAAAAAAAAAAAAAGAAUUCAUACAAUGAAGCCCUAACAACCCUAACCCUACACACACACACACACACACAGACACACAGACACACACACACACACACACACGGUGUGAUAGUUUUUGGAAAUCUGGGCUUUUGGAAGUAUUCAGGUUUAAAUAAGGUUAUGAGGGACAGUUUCUCAUGGUGAGAUUAAUCUUAUAAUAAAGAUACCAGAGGAGUUCCUGUCAGGGCUCAGUGGUUAAUGAACCCGACUAGUAUCCCUGAGGAUGCAGGUUUGAUCCCUGGCUUUGCUCAUCCGGUUAAGAUCUGACAUUGCCAUGAGCUGUAGUGUAGGUCACAGAUGUGGCUUGGAUCCCAUGUUGCUGUGGCAGUGGCAUAGGCUAGUGGCUACAGCUCUGAUUCAACCCCUAGCUUGGAAACUUCCAUAUGCCACAGGCACGGCCCUAAAAAGACAAAAGACAAAAAGAAAGGAAGGAAGGAAGGAAGGGAGGGAGGGAGGGAGGAAGGGAGGAAGGAAGGAACCAGAGCUUGCUGUUUCCUCACCAUGUAGGGAUACAAAUAAAACACAGUGGACUGCAAGCCAGGAAGAGGACUCUCACCAGAAAUCAACCAAGUUGUCACUUUGACUUUAGACUUCUAGACUCCAGAGCUGUGAGAAGGUCAAUUUCUGUUGUUUAAGCUACCCAUUCGCCCACUCUAUGGCCAUUCAGGUUACGACAAGGCUGAUUUGCCUUGAUGUGUAGACUGGCCGCCCAUAACAAUUUGAUUUACAGUUCACUUUUCCCCCUUAGGUACAUGACUAACUUCCCACAGCUCCUGAGAACAAAGCAUGUCUUCUGCGUAUACCCCUCACCCUUGAACCAAUCUGCAGCAAAGAUGGUGAUCACAGUUGAUGUCGCUGGACAGUGAAAUGGCUGUUGACACCUGAAUUACAAUGUCCAGGGUGAAACACCAAAAGAUGAUUCCAGGGUGUUGGAAUCAUCCAUACUGCCACAACAGUGCCUUCAUGUCACUCUAUUAGCACAGCUUCCCACACUGAUUCUCUUUCCUGGCAGCUCUCCAGAGAUCAGAGAUCAUAACCUAGGCAAUGGGCAGCAGUGACAGGAAGGCAGGAGAAAUGCAGGACUCAGCAAGUUGGUGUCUGGAACUUAGUAUCUCAUUCACAGAGACUUGUGAGGAAUUCGAAAUAAUUUCUAAGCAUAAGAUAAAUAUUUAUAAUGUGACUUUUGAUUUCUGGUAAAGGCAUAAAAGAAAAAAUUGAAUCUCAUCACUGGAGAAAGGAUUCAAAUAUUGUACUAUGAUCUAUUCUCUUAAUAACCAGGCAGGAAUUAGAUGAGAUUUUGAAACCGACCCACUGAGAGGUCCCCAAGCAGACAUAUCUAGCACUGCUGUCUUUCUGCCCUUCAAUUACAAGUUAUACAGGCUGAAGAAGUUCUUUGUCAUUCAAAUACAAUAAAAUGAGUUAUUAAAUUUUAAGUUCCUAUUUUAAAGUAAAUAUUAAAAUUAUAAAAGGUAUAGAAUUAAAACAAAAACAUAGUCAUAAAAUAUAUAAGUACAGAUUUUAACUUAUUAAAAUACUAAUUUGAAAUAAAAAUAACAGGUUAGUCAUUUAAAAUUGAUGUAACCAAUGGAACAGAAUAGAGAAUCUGGAAAUAAACCCUGACACCUAUGGUCAAUUAAUCUUUGACAAGGGAGGCAAGAACAUAAAAUGGGAAAAGGAAAGUCUAUUCAGCAAGCAUUGCUGGGAAACCUGGACAGCUGCAUGCAAAGCAAUGAAACUAGAACAUACCCUCACACCAUGCACAAAAAUAAACUCCAAAUGGCUGAAAGACUUAAAUAUAUGACAGGACACCAUCAAACUCCGAGAAGAAAACAUAGGCAAAACACUCUCUGACAUCAACAUCAUGAAU